rnacentral:rRNA from 1 species
AGCACCUACGGGUGUGAAGUCAUUGAUGCCAUGCUUCCAGGAAAAGCCUCUAAGCUUCAGAUUGUAAGGAAUCGUACCCCAAACCGACACAGGUGGUCGGGUAGAGAAUACCAAGGCGCUUGAGAGAACUCGGGUGAAGGAACUAGGCAAAAUGGUACCGUAACUUCGGGAGAAGGUACGCUCUUGAUGGUGAAGUCCCUUGCGGAUGGAGCUGACGAGAGUCGCAGAUACCAGGUGGCUGCAACUGUUUAUUAAAAACACAGCACUGUGCAAAAUCGUAAGAUGACGUAUACGGUGUGACGCCUGCCCGGUGCCGGAAGGUUAAUUGAUGGGGUUAGACUUCGGUCGAAGCUCUUGAUCGAAGCCCCGGUAAACGGCGGCCGUAACUAUAACGGUCCUAAGGUAGCGAAAUUCCUUGUCGGGUAAGUUCCGACCUGCACGAAUGGCGUAAUGAUGGCCACGCUGUCUCCACCCGAGACUCAGUGAAAUUGAAAUCGCUGUGAAGAUGCAGUGUACCCGCGGCUAGACGGAAAGACCCCGUGAACCUUUACUACAGCUUGGCACUGAACAUUGACCCUACAUGUGUAGGAUAGGUGGGAGGCUUUGAAGCACGUACGCCAGUAUGUGUGGAGCCGUCCUUGAAAUACCACCCUUGUAGUGUUGAUGUUCUAACGUCGACCCCUAAUCGGGGUUGCGGACAGUGCCUGGUGGGUAGUUUGACUGGGGCGGUCUCCUCCCAAAGAGUAACGGAGGAGCACGAAGGUGGGCUAAUCACGGUUGGACAUCGUGAGGUUAGUGCAAUGGCAUAAGCCCGCUUGACUGCGAGAAUGACAAUUCGAGCAGGUGCGAAAGCAGGUCAUAGUGAUCCGGUGGUUCUGAAUGGAAGGGCCAUCGCUCAACGGAUAAAAGGUACUCCGGGGAUAACAGGCUGAUACCGCCCAAGAGUUCAUAUCGACGGCGGUGUUUGGCACCUCGAUGUCGGCUCAUCACAUCCUGGGGCUGAAGUCGGUCCCAAGGGUAUGGCUGUUCGCCAUUUAAAGUGGUACGCGAGCUGGGUUUAGAACGUCGUGAGACAGUUCGGUCCCUAUCUGCCGUGGGCGUUGGAAGAUUGAAGGGGGCUGCUCCUAGUACGAGAGGACCGGAGUGGACGAACCUCUGGUGUUCGGGUUGUGUCGCCAGACGCAUUGCCCGGUAGCUAAGUUCGGAAUCGAUAACCGCUGAAAGCAUCUAAGCGGGAAGCGAGCCCUGAGAUGAGUCUUCCCUGAUACUUUAAGUAUCCUAAAGGGUUGUCGGAGACUACGACGUUGAUAGGUCAGGUGUGUAAGUGCUGUGAGGCAUUGAGCUAACUGAUACUAAUUGCCCGUGAGGCUUAACCAU